rnacentral:misc_RNA from 1 species
GUCAUAAAGAGUCCACUAGCGCCCCUCACUCAUACGUAGUGAUGGACGAUCCAAAGCAAACGCUCUACAUCAGAGGACUACCGGACAAGUCGUCCGCCAACGAAGUCCGACGUGCCCUUUAUCUGUACUGCACCCAGUUUGGCCCAGUGAAGGCGGUUCUGUACAGCAAGUCGAAAGAGUUCUACGGCCAGGCAUUUGUAGUGUUUACGGACGUUGGCACGGCCACAACAGCUCGCCGCUCGCUGCACGAUCGCAUGUUCUACGGCCGCCGAAUCCAGGCCUUUUACGCGCACAAGCAAGCAUUUUGCGUCGCACCCGGUGAGCGUCGCCGCCGCGAUCUGGCACGCGAGAAGAAGCGUUUGCGUACGUUGCAGAAGAAAGAGUAAUGUGGCACCUUGGAGAGCGCAUGCAUUUCCUUGAGGGAAAGGGGAACGGUGCCACGCUGCGCGGCCACACAAAGCCUCUGCACCAUUGUUCGUGUUCGAUUGGCGGGGCAGACACUGCUCGAGCUGAUGGUGUGACUCUCAUGCGCUGGCGUGGCGAUAAUGGCGCAGAAUGUGGCCCGCUGCCACUGCUGAAUUGUCAACCUCUGUCGUUGCCGUUGGGGCGAUGAAAAAGCGUAAUCUGGCCAGCGGCUGAGGGCGCGUCUGUGAAUCGACAGCUCUGGCAAUCAUGCCACUUCCACGGGCAGCACUGCCAACAAAGUACGUUACCCGGUGCGCACAAGUUUGCGUUCCCGCCUUUCGAGUUGCAGCGCGGUCCACUUGACCAGCAGACUCUCCUCCUUUCAUGCCUCCCUCUCUCUCACUCCCUGCAGAUAUGAGCGUACCUGCACACCCUUUCCUUUCUCAUCUUUACCUCGACUGGUUCACGUGUAACGCCUUCUCUAUUGUCUUCGACUCGUGCUUUUUUGGAAAG